CAGUCGCCGCGGGAAUACGUAGGGUGCAAGCGUUAUCCGGAAUUAUUGGGCGUAAAGAGCUCGUAGGCGGUUUGUCGCGUCUGCUGUGAAAACUGGAGGCUCAACCUCCAGCCUGCAGUGGGUACGGGCAGACUAGAGUGCGGUAGGGGAGAUUGGAAUUCCUGGUGUAGCGGUGGAAUGCGCAGAUAUCAGGAGGAACACCGAUGGCGAAGGCAGAUCUCUGGGCCGUAACUGACGCUGAGGAGCGAAAGCGUGGGGAGCGAACAGGAUUAGAUACCCGCGUAGUCCCUGUCUCUUAUAC
rnacentral:rRNA from 1 species